UGUAUGUUUUUAAGAACAGGUUGGGCCAAUACCUGUCAGGGAUGGUCUAGGUUUACUUGGUCCUGCCACAGCACAGGGGGCUGGACUUGAUGAGCUCUUGGGAUUCCUUCCAGCCCCAUAUUUCUAUUAUUCUAUUAUUAAAGAUAAUGACAUAAUCAAAUCUCAUGAUUUAGGGCUUUAGCUGGCCACCUGCAGGGGUCAGGAAGGAUUUUUGCCCCCGAUGCACAAUUGGCCAGUUGUAUUUUUCAGGGGUAGGGAGGUUGCCUUGAUCUAAAGAUUGGCCGCAGCUAGAGACAGGACGCUGGACCGGGUGGACUGGGGCUUUGAAGUGGUACAGAGGAUCCUCUUUUGAUGUGUGUUGCUCCCAUGCUCAGGAUUAUAGAGAUCACCAGAUGUAGGAUUGAGAGGGAAUUUUCUCCCAAGUCAGACUGGCAGGAACCUUCUGGGUUUUCAUUUCCCCUGCAGCAUGGGGUGUGGUUCAUCUGCUGGGAUCAUCUGGGCAUAUCUCACCUAAACAAUUUCCAGCUAUUGCAGGGGUCUGGGGCGUUGUUGGCAUGUUGAUCUCUCGUUUUCUCCCUAUGACACUCAGUUUAGUCUCCUGAAGACCAAAAUGCUUUGAUCUAACUUAAAACUUUGGGCUUAAAAUAGGGUUAGCUAAGUGAAAAAUAGUGGCCUGUGGUAUGUAAGUGAUCAGACUAGAUUUGAUGGUCCAUUCUGGCUUUGAACUCUAUGAAAUGGAACAUCACAAGCACUGGCAACAGUGUAUACAGUUGUCAGAGAGAGAUCUGGUGCUGCCUCGCUUUAGUGGCCCCGUCUCUAUUGCCAGACAAAUGUUAGUGUGAAAUAGUGAAUCCAGAGACAUCUGUCACAGCCACAAUCAAGUACCCACCCUCCGUCAUUGUAACACAAAGGUCAUGUCUCUGAUAUCACACAGCUGCUAAACUGCUGACCUGCCUGAAAUAGUGUCAGUGACGAUGAGACACUCUGGUUUGUUAUUUUCUUCAGGUUGUAGGACUAGGAGCAAUUUGCUUUACCUACAGUACUCUUGCUCAGGUUCUCAACUGAGAGCACACACUUCACAAAGUUCAUGCCAGACAAUGUCUGCAGCUGGGAGUGCCCAAAAGAACAUUCUACACCCUCAAACUGCUAGUCUUUUUUCUUGUUGCUUGUCUAGUUAAAGUCAAUUUUCCUCCUAGCAAAAGAUUAACAGUGCCAAAAGGUUCCAUGUUAGACUAGUGUUUAAUACAUUUACUAGUGAUCUGGAAAAGAGGUUGAGCAGUAAGAUGGCAACAUUUGCAGAUGACACAAAAUUAUUUAGGUUAGUCAAGACUAACUUUUUUUUACAAUCUUCUCCAGUGGUAGAUUAGGAAGUUUAUUUAUUCUUUAUUCAAGAAUAUUUUUCUUAAUACAAAAACAAUGGGAUGUUCAAAAAUAUGACAAAUUUAAAAAUUGAUAAAAGGAAAAAAAUAUACAAACACAUUGCUAAAAGGCAUUGUGGCCAAGAGCGUAGCAAGAUUCAAAAAAUGAUUUGCCAUUUGAUGGAUAACAAUAUCUAGAGUUAUAAUAGUAAGGAUUAAAAACAAGGUAGCCAAGAGUUUUGGAAGAGAUAUAAACCUUCCUGCUUCAUAGUAUAAACAACUUCUAAUUUAUGAAGUUAGGAAGAAACUUUCUCUGUAGGAAAGUUAUUCCAUAAUUGUCUUUUGCAAAAUUUCUUGAAUAGACAGGAUUCUGAACUAGAUAAAUCACUUGUUCUGAUCCAGUAUAGCAAUUUCUCUGUUCCUAAAGGUUUGAGAUGCCAUAGGAACUAAGCAUGCAUGGUCUGGGUGAUAAAUAAAUAAUAUAAGGAAUUGCCUAAAAAACAGCAAUAGAAAUUAUAAAAUGGCUCAGCCCAAGGGAGAUUCUGAGUCAAGGUAUGCAUCCGACGAAGUGGGCAUUCACCCACGAAAGCUUAUGUUCCAAUACAUCUGUUAGUCUUAAAGGUGCCACAGGACUCUAUGUUGCUUUUUUCAGAAGCAAUGUGCAAGAUAUUGUCCGGCAACUGGAACAAAGUAGAUCUAGCUUAGUUGUCAGAACCUAAUGGUCAGAGCAGGCAUCAGGAACCAAGGACUAGUGUCAGAGUGGGAAUCAGUAGUUGGAAGAUGGAGCCAAGGGUCAAACCAGAGGGCAGGAACUGGAUACCAGAGCCAAGGGUCAAGCUGCAGUGAGAAACCAGAGCCACAAAUCAAGCCAGAAGUCAGGAACUGCAGUAAGCAGGUAACAGGCAAAGGGUGGGGCGGGGCUUAAGGCAGGGGCAGCAGGACAGUGGCAAAGCAGGAUGCAAGAAAGGAGCAGCAGGAACAAGAGAAUCAAACUGGUUGGUUUGCAACUGCUCAGAUGCCAGGGAAGACCCGUUCGGAUGGGAUGUUGUGGACAGGAUGGCUGGCAACCUCCAAAGAAUCCAGAGAUGAUCUUGGGAGCCCAGCCUCCCUCUUUGUUAUCGGUGGCAGAACGGCUGCACAGAA